rnacentral:misc_RNA from 1 species
GUACCCUCAAGCUCUGCUUGGUGUUGGGUGUUUGUCUCGCCUUUGCGCGCAGACUCGCCUCAAAACAAUUGGCAGCCGGCGUAUUGAUUUCGGAGCGCAGUACAUCUCGCACUCUGCCUUCAGAACGACGGCGUCCAGAAGUACAUUUUUACAC